ACGAACGCUGGCGGCAUGCCUAACACCUGCAAGUCGAACGAGACCUUCGGGUCUAGUGGCGCACGGGUGCGUAACGCGUGGGAACCUGCCCUUAGGUUCGGAAUAACUCCCCGAAAGGGGUGCUAAUACCGGAUAAUGUCUUCGGACCAAAGAUUUAUCGCCUUUGGAUGGGCCCGCGUUGGAUUAGCUAGUUGGUAGGGUAAAAGCCUACCAAGGCGACGAUCCAUAGCUGGUCUGAGAGGAUGAUCAGCCACACUGGGACUGAGACACGGCCCAGACUCCUACGGGAGGCAGCAGUGGGGAAUAUUGGACAAUGGGCGAAAGCCUGAGCCAGCAAUGCUGCGUGAGUGAUGAAGGCCUUAGGGUUGUAAAGCUCUUUUACCCGGGAUGAUAAUGACAGUACCGGGAGAAUAAGCUCCGGCUAACUCCG
rnacentral:rRNA from 1 species